rnacentral:rRNA from 1 species
UACGUAGGGUGCGAGCGUUGUCCGGAAUUAUUGGGCGUAAAGAGCUCGUAGGUGGUUUGUCGCGUUGUUCGUGAAAACUCACAGCUUAACUGUGGGCGUGCGGGCGAUACGGGCAGACUUGAGUACUGCAGGGGAGACUGGAAUUCCUGGUGUAGCGGUGAAAUGCGCAGAUAUCAGGAGGAACACCGGUGGCGAAGGCGGGUCUCUGGGCCGAUACUGACGCUGAGGAGCGAAAGCGUGGGGAGCAAACAGG